rnacentral:rRNA from 1 species
UGGGGAAUUUUGGACAAUGGGCGCAAGCCUGAUCCAGCAAUGCCGCGUGCAGGAUGAAGGCCUUCGGGUUGUAAACUGCUUUUGUACGGAACGAAAAAGCUCUCUCUAAUACAGGGGGUGAAUGACGGUACCGUAAGCAUAAGCACCGGCUAACUACGUGCCAGCAGCCGCGGUAAUACGUAGGGUGCAAGCGUUAAUCGGAAUUACUGGGCGUAAAGCGUGCGCAGGCGGUUUUGUAAGACAGAGGUGAAAUACCCGGGCUCAACCUGGGAACUGCCUUUGUGACUGCAAAGCUGGAGUGCGGCAGAGGGAGAUGGAAUUCCACGUGUAGCAGUGAAAUGCGUAGAUAUGCGGAGGAACACCGAUGGCGAAGGCAAUCCCCUGGGCCUGCACUGACGCUCAUGCACGAAAGCGUGGGGAGCAAACA